AGGACGGUAUUUGUGUCAAUAUGGAUAUUUCAAACAUAUUGCACUUAUACCGGCCUGA
rnacentral:pre_miRNA from 1 species